GUUUUGAUAAGGUUGGUAGCCGUUGCUGUUAAAAACAGUUUGUCGCUUGUACGCUAUUUCUUGACUGAAACGCGCGCGAGUGUCCUGCCUCAACACCAGGGCUGUCAACGUCAGCGGCUCGCUUGAUUGCAUGUGUUUUGAUAAGGUUGGUAGCCGUUGCUGUUAAAAACAGUUGGUCGCUUGUACGCUAUUUCUUGACU